AUAUUAUUAAGCGGAGGAAAAGAAACUAAAAAGGAUUCUUUGAGUAGCGGCGAGCGAAAGAAGAAGAGUUCAUCCUGAAUCUGGUCCUAGAUCAGAGUUGUGGGGUGUUGGUUCUGAAUCUAAUUCGUCUUGUGAAUCGAGUCGGAAAGACUUAGCUUCAACGUAGGUACCAUAGAAGGUGAAAGUCCUGUAACAAGAUUGAGUGAACAUUCUGAGCUUACAAACGAGUAGGGUUGUUUAAUAGUAUAACCUGAAUUGGGAGAUAAGUUUCUUCUAAAACUAAAUACGAAAUACGAGUCCGAUAGCGAACAAGUACCGUGAGGGAAAGUUGAAAAGCACUCUGAUAAGAGGGUGAAUAGUGCAUGAAACUAUACAGAUUUAAGCGUGCACAACCAUUAGCGUAGGUGUUAGUGUUCAUUGUCGCACUCCGACAUGUAUUCUCUAAUACCGCCAGUGUGUGCUCCCCAGAGCAUUUGACUUCGCAGGUGGAAUGACUACGGCUAAGUUCUGAAACGAUUUAUGGUUGGAGUGUCGUCUCGGCGAUGCUUCGGCUGUAUCUCGCCAAGGGGUUUAGUCGAACUCAAUACCGCUUGCAUUACACUGUUCCAUCAAUAAUGGUUGGACACGU
rnacentral:rRNA from 1 species